rnacentral:rRNA from 1 species
GCGGCGGCGGGUAAUCAGCGGGGAACUCCCCCCACUGGGAUAGCCUCCGGAACGGAGAGUAACACGCAUAGCCCCCCGGGGGAUGACCCUCGGUGAGGGACCGGCCCGCGUCGGAUAGGUAGUUGGUGGGGUAACGGCCUACCAAGCCGACGAUCCAUAGCUGGUUUGAGAGGAUGAUCAGCCACACUGGGACUGAGACACGGCCCAGACUCCUACGGGAGGCAGCAGUGGGGAAUCUUAGACAAUGGGGGAAACCCUGAUCUAGCCAUGCCGCGUGUGUGAUGAAGGCCUUUAGGGUCGUAAAAGCACUUUCGCCUGUGAAGAUAAUGACGGUAGCAGGUAAAGAAACCCCGGCUAACUCCGUGCCAGCAGCCGCGGUAAUACGGAGGGGUUAGCGUUGUUCGGAAUUACUGGGCGUAAAGCGCGCGUAGGCGGACUAUUAAGUCAGGGGUGAAAUCCCGGGCUCAACCCGGAACUGCUUUGAUACUGGUAGUCUUGAGUUCGAGAGAGUGAUGAAUUCCAAUGUAAGUGAAUUCGUAAUAUUCGGAGGAACCCAGUGGCGAAGG